UUAAUAAAAAAAAUUGGCAUAAUCCAUGUCAUACCAAAAAAAAAACUGUAAAUUCUUUCUCUCUCUCAUCUCCUCUUUCUCUCACCCUUAUCUAUUUUCUCUCGACGAGCCCAUCUCCUCCACCAUUCUCUUUGACGCCGUCGUCGUUACGUCUUGAUGGAUUUCUCGAAAGGUCGAUCUCCUCCCACAUCCUUGUCAUCGUUGUCGAUUUCUCCACGAUUGGAAUCCCUAGCUUGUUCUCUCGUUUUCUCCCUCUUUAAUCUUCAACGCAGAGGCCAUAAUCAAGGAAGCUUGGAAGGAAGUUGGGUGAAAUGGUUUUUGAUGAAGACCACUUAAGAUGUACUUUGAAGCAUUGGCGCGCUGUUUCUAUCGGUGCUUCACCCUUGAAGCAUUCGUGUAGUUUGAAUUGUUAUGCAGCAGAAUUUGUUAUUUUGUGUUGAUUGCUUGGUGUGUUAGCUCUGAUAUCAUGAAGGAGAUUUUUCUGUUAUCUUGUUUCUUAGCCUUUAUGUGCGUGAGCUUUUGAAAUGCAUAUGGCUUAUCAUUUACUUGGUCAAAUCAUAUCAAUAUUUGGAAAACAUAUGUAGGUAUUUUGAUUUUAGUUAGUUUCUAUCAAAUCCAAGGGUAGAUAGCUUGUUAAGACUCAUUAUGCAUGUAAGUUAUUUUAAAGUAGAUUUUAGUAUCAUAAUGACUCAUUAUGUCUUUAUAUAAACAUGGAAAACACAUGAUCAUAGUGUGUUAAUGUAAAGUGAGGUUGAAUGAUUUUUCAAUUUUUUACAGGCCUCUUAUAAACAUUGGCUAAAUACCUUUAAGUUGCAAGUUUUUUUAGUUUGUGAUGCAGAACCAUAUCAUAUAUUAGCUUAUGAAUCUUGUCUGAUGAGCAUGAGUGAAAGGUGAACUAUUGUCCAUCUUUGACAGACUUUUGAAAAUCUAACCAAAAUAAAGAUAGACUUAAACACUUUUUUAUCAAACUUGUUAACUAAACUCCUCUGCUCUGUUGUUGCGUGUGAGGUAAAUUUAUCCUGUAAAGAGAAACAUGUAUAAAUGCAACCGUGUUGAUAGUUUAUUAAUUCUUAUAUCAUAUUAACCUCCACAGGUUAUUGAAGAGUUGAGCGCAACUAAAGAAGAGGUUGCAGAUGAAGUUGUUAGGGAGGCGAUAGAAUGAUCAGUGCAUAUAUUAAAUGGAAGCAAGAUUCUUCUCACAGUCGGUUAGUUGCUAACAAUCGGUAGUUGCUAAUAAAGGGCUCAAGGCAAGGAUUAUAGUAUUUGAAUUGGAAUGUAGAGAAAUGAGGCAGUUGUUACCUCCAUCCAUAGAUGAAGCUGCACAUUCAGGUCGCAUGGACGAAGAUGUAUUGAAAGAAGGAAAUGGUGUGGAGACGUCUCAAUGGAAGAUAUUGAAAGGGUUACUGAAAGAGAGGUAGCAAAUGUUUCGUGUAAUGAACAUCUGCAAGCAUCAACCUUGAUCACUCGAAUUAAAGAUAAGCCAAGAAACUGUGUGGAUAGUGGGUUUAUGCGGACAUGGUGGGUGAAAGGUGAUAUGAAGAAGAGGAAGAAAGAUACUGAAGUUCCAUGAUGAAAUGUUUAAGUAAAUUAUUUUUAAAUGUUUUGAAUUUCCUAAGACCCUGUCAAGGUGAUAGUAUUGGUGAAACAUAAUAUGUUGUUAGCCAGUGAUAUGCUUUUUAUGUAAUAUCCUUUUAAUUGGUGUAACUACUAUUAGUUUUCAAGAAAAACUUAAUUUGUGCCAUACAAA